rnacentral:rRNA from 1 species
AGCGUACACGGUGGAUGCCCUGGCAGUCAGAGGCGAUGAAGGACGUGCUAAUCUGCGAAAAGCGUCGGUAAGGUGAUAUGAACCGUUAUAACCGGCGAUGUCCGAAUGGGGAAACCCAGUGCAAUUCGUUGCACUAUCGUUAACUGAAUACAUAGGUUAACGAGGCGAACCGGGGGAACUGAAACAUCUAAGUACCCCGAGGAAAAGAAAUCAACCGAGAUUCCCCCAGUAGCGGCGAGCGAACGGGGAGCAGCCCAGAGUCUGAAUCAGCUUGUGUGUUAGUGGAACGGUCUGGAAAGUCCGACGGUACAGGGUGAUAGUCCCGUACACCAAAAUGCACAGGUUGUGAACUCGAAGAGUAGGGCGGGACACGUGGUAUCCUGUCUGAAUAUGGGGGGACCAUCCUCCAAGGCUAAAUACUCCUGACUGACCGAUAGUGAACCAGUACCGUGAGGGAAAGGCGAAAAGAACCCCGGCGAGGGGAGUGAAAAAGAACCUGAAACCGUGUACGUACAAGCAGUGGGAGCACCUUCGGGUGUGACUGCGUACCUUUUGUAUAAUGGGUCAGCGACUUAUAUUCUGUAGCAAGGUUAACCGUAUAGGGGAGCCGCAGGGAAACCGAGUCUUAACUGGGCGUUAAGUUGCAGGGUAUAGACCCGAAACCCGGUGAUCUAGCCAUGGGCAGGUUGAAGGUUGGGUAACACUAACUGGAGGACCGAACCGACUAAUGUUGAAAAAUUAGCGGAUGACUUGUGGCUGGGGGUGAAAGGCCAAUCAAACCGGGAGAUAGCUGGUUCUCCCCGAAAGCUAUUUAGGUAGCGCCUCGUGAACUCAUCUUCGGGGGUAGAGCACUGUUUCGGCUAGGGGGUCAUCCCGACUUACCAACCCGAUGCAAACUACGAAUACCGAAGAAUGUUAUCACGGGAGACACACGGCGGGUGCUAACGUCCGUCGUGAAGAGGGAAACAACCCAGACCGCCAGCUAAGGUCCCAAAGUCAUGGUUAAGUGGGAAACGAUGUGGGAAGGCACAGACAGCCAGGAUGUUGGCUUAGAAGCAGCCAUCAUUUAAAGAAAGCGUAAUAGCUCACUGGUCGAGUCGGCCUGCGCGGAAGAUGUAACGGGGCUAAACCAUGCACCGAAGCUGCGGCAGCGACACUAUGUGUUGUUGGGUAGGGGAGCGUUCUGUAAGCCUGCGAAGGUGUGCUGUGAGGCAUGCUGGAGGUAUCAGAAGUGCGAAUGCUGACAUAAGUAACGAUAAAGCGGGUGAAAAGCCCGCUCGCCGGAAGACCAAGGGUUCCUGUCCAACGUUAAUCGGGGCAGGGUGAGUCGACCCCUAAGGCGAGGCCGAAAGGCGUAGUCGAUGGGAAACAGGUUAAUAUUCCUGUACUUGGUGUUACUGCGAAGGGGGGACGGAGAAGGCUAUGUUAGCCGGGCGACGGUUGUCCCGGUUUAAGCAUGUAGGCUGGUUAUCCAGGCAAAUCCGGAUAAUCAAGGCUGAGGUGUGAUGACGAGGCACUACGGUGCUGAAGUAACAAAUGCCCUGCUUCCAGGAAAAGCCUCUAAGCAUCAGGUAACAUCAAAUCGUACCCCAAACCGACACAGGUGGUCAGGUAGAGAAUACCAAGGCGCUUGAGAGAACUCGGGUGAAGGAACUAGGCAAAAUGGUGCCGUAACUUCGGGAGAAGGCACGCUGGUGUGUAGGUGAAGUCCCUGCGGAUGGAGCUGAGACCAGUCGAAGAUACCAGCUGGCUGCAACUGUUUAUUAAAAACACAGCACUGUGCAAACACGAAAGUGGACGUAUACGGUGUGACGCCUGCCCGGUGCCGGAAGGUUAAUUGAUGGGGUUAUCCGUAAGGAGAAGCUCUUGAUCGAAGCCCCGGUAAACGGCGGCCGUAACUAUAACGGUCCUAAGGUAGCGAAAUUCCUUGUCGGGUAAGUUCCGACCUGCACGAAUGGCGUAAUGAUGGCCAGGCUGUCUCCACCCGAGACUCAGUGAAAUUGAACUCGCUGUGAAGAUGCAGUGUACCCGCGGCAAGACGGAAAGACCCCGUGAACCUUUACUAUAGCUUGACACUGAACAUUGAGCCUUGAUGUGUAGGAUAGGUGGGAGGCUUUGAAGCGUGGACGCCAGUCUGCGUGGAGCCAACCUUGAAAUACCACCCUUUAAUGUUUGAUGUUCUAACGUUGGCCCCUGACCGGGGUUGCGGACAGUGUCUGGUGGGUAGUUUGACUGGGGCGGUCUCCUCCCAAAGCGUAACGGAGGAGCACGAAGGUUAGCUAAUCCUGGUCGGACAUCAGGAGGUUAGUGCAAUGGCAUAAGCUAGCUUGACUGCGAGCGUGACGGCGCGAGCAGGUGCGAAAGCAGGUCAUAGUGAUCCGGUGGUUCUGAAUGGAAGGGCCAUCGCUCAACGGAUAAAAGGUACUCCGGGGAUAACAGGCUGAUACCGCCCAAGAGUUCAUAUCGACGGCGGUGUUUGGCACCUCGAUGUCGGCUCAUCACAUCCUGGGGCUGAAGUAGGUCCCAAGGGUAUGGCUGUUCGCCAUUUAAAGUGGUACGCGAGCUGGGUUUAGAACGUCGUGAGACAGUUCGGUCCCUAUCUGCCGUGGGCG